GGUGAAUGCACCAAUUUGUAAGUCGCUCUGGAUAAGAGCGUCUGCUCUUAUACUUAUACUUUCAUACACUUUAUAAAGUUUAACAAAUCAAAAUACAAGUCAGUCAAUUUUCUACUCAGUCAACAAAGACAAAAAAUAAAAACAGUUUGUUUCUACUCAGACUUGAGAUGGACAGCAGGGAGGCCAGCCCCCUACGACGCCCACUUAUCUUUGAUUGGUUGCUGCACACCUUCACUUGUUGAAGUUUGGGAUAGUCCCAGUUUCCCAAGAUCUACUACUGGAUAGAGCUUUACAGAGGGCUGGCUUUGGGACUGUGACCAAUGCAGUCUAUAACUCCACAGAUCAUAAACAAAGAAGCUACAUAGGCUGGAUAAGGCAGCUUAACACCUUGCCUGGGACAAGAAUGCGUGCUGUCCAACACCAUAUUUGGAAAAAGGAUCAGCAGACAAGAAACCGAUACCAGCUCAAACCGGAAGGUUGUUAACCCCCCCACACCUGAAAUUCAGCCAUCCAUGUUGGCCCCCAGUUCUGAACAGGCGGUGCGGUGCCCCCCGUCCCCCACCCCAAAGACAAGAACCUGAAGCCAGCUCCAUCCAGAAGCAACAACGGGGCCUGGAGGACAGCUAAGCAGCAACAAGCAACCCCCCUAAUGCUAGAGUUGCUGCUGCUUCCACCCUUGUAAAAAGCCUGACCAGAUCCACAGAUGAUGAGAAUUGCAAAAGGCUGGUCAUGAACCUGUCAGGAAAGGAGGUUACCUGUUGCUUUCCCCUGCAGGAUAUGUGGCAAGCCUAAAAGAAAAACAAUUUGGCCACAGCUAGUGCAGGGGACAGCAGGGGGAGGCAAAACUGUUGUGGAGUGGCUGAAUGAGAAGAGGGCCUCGUCAUCUCAGAGAGACCUCAGAUGCAGAGCUGGUCGUUAUGGCCAUAGAAGUUGAAAACUGUAAUGUUAAUAACUGAUAUAUUUAAAUCAAGUUUUGGAUUCUGACAGACAACCUUUUGUAACGUAACCUCAUUUUUGUUAAUAUUUAAAAUAUGACAAAGGAAGGUACAUUGGGUAAGGUAAGUUUGAGUGAGAAACUCCAUGUCAAUGUACAGUUGAAGUCGGAAGUAUACAUACACUUAGGUUGGAGUCAUUAAAACUCAUUUUUCAACCACU